rnacentral:rRNA from 1 species
AUUGAACGCUGGCGGCACGCCUAACACAUGCAAGUCGAGCGGCAGCGAGACUAGUAGCAAUACUAGUUGUCGGCGAGCGGCGGACGGGUGAGUAACACGUAGGAAUCUGCCCUUAAGCGGGGGAUAACCAAGGGAAACUUUGGCUAAUACCGCACAAUCUCGAGAGAGCAAAGCUGCCCGCGAGGGUGGCACUUGAGGAGGAGCCUGCGUCCGAUUAGCUAGUUGGUGGGGUAAUGGCCUACCAAGGCGAUGAUCGGUAACUGGUCUGAGAGGACGACCAGUCACACUGGGACUGAGACACGGCCCAGACUCCUACGGGAGGCAGCAGUGGGGAAUAUUGGACAAUGGGGGCAACCCUGAUCCAGCGAUGCCGCGUGAGUGAAGAAGGCCUUCGGGUCGUAAAGCUCUUUAGGUUGGGAAGAAGGGUAUUGGCUGAAUAAUCCAGUACUUUGACGGUACCGACAGAAUAAGCACCGGCAAACUCUGUGCCAGCAGCCGCAGUAACAC